AGUCUCUGGAAAUGCAGAUUCCACCGUCAAGAUCUGGGACAUCAAGACCGGCCAGUGCCUACAAACACUGCAAGGUCCCCACAAGCACCAGAGUGCAGUAACAUGCCUGCAGUUCAACAAGAAUUUUGUCAUCACCAGCUCCGAUGACGGUACGGUGAAGUUGUGGGACCUUCGGACGGGCGAGUUUAUCCGCAACCUGGUCACACUGGAGAGCGGAGGCAGCGGCGGCGUGGUCUGGCGCAUCCGCGCCUCCAAUACCAAACUCGUUUGUGCGGUGGGCAGCCGUAACGGCACAGAGGAAACCAAGCUCCUGGUGCUGGACUUCGACGUGGACAUGAAGUGAAGGGGGUGAACUUAAAGGGGACAUGUUUGGAAAACGGGGAGGGUGGGGGAGAGCAACCUGCCCCGGGUCUCUCCAUGUCAGGACCGAUCGCUCACUUCCCCGAUAUGUUGCCGCCAACAUUUCUCUCCAUCUUGCCACGGUCCACGACUGCCGCCACAGUUCCGUUCACCUUCCGAAGGGUGGGGGGCAGACGCUCAUGCACCACAGCAUUCUGGGACGAAAACUGACAAGAAGGACUUGGGAAAACAGGAUAGUCCCUUUUCCUACCACUCAAGGUGACCUUGCACAGAGACUUGUUCGCUCAAGCCUGACUGAAAUUCACACCCAUAUGUACAAACAUUAUUUUUUUUGAUCAAAACAGUCAACACUGUAUACAUGAGACCCUAACGCAUCAACACGGACACGGAGUGAUAAAUAGUGUAUACAAAUUAAAUUUUAAAGGAGAAAGAUGAGAAUUUGAAGAGCCUUGUAUUGCGAGAGUGAUUCGAGCUUGAGAGACAAAGGAAGCCAAUUUUGUCAGUCCUCAUCAACCUCAGCACACGCCAAAUAUCCCUUUCUUCCUCACGUGUUGAAUUUCUUUUGUAUCCGUUUUUUUUUCAGUUCCUUUUUUUUUUCCCUUUGUUCCCCACGACUUGUCUUUUGGUUUUCGCGUCGAACAGCUGUGAAUGAAAGUUUUGUGCUUUCUUUUCAA